CCUACGGGCGACAGCAGUGAGGAAUAUUGGUCAAUGGACGAGAGUCUGAACCAGCCAAGUAGCGUGAAGGAUGACUGCCCUAUGGGUUGUAAACUUCUUUUUUAAAGGAAUAAAACGAGGCACGUGUGCCUUUUUGCAUGUACUUUAUGAAUAAGGAUCGGCUAACUCCGUGCCAGCAGCCGCGGUAAUACGGAGGAUCCGAGCGUUAUCCGGAUUUAUGGGGUUUAAAGGGAGCGUAGAUGGGUUGUUAAGUCAGUUGGGAAAGUUUGCGGCUCAACCGUAAAAUUGCAAUUGAUACUGGCAGUCUUGAGUAAAGUUGAGGUAGGCGGAAUGCGGGGUGGAGCGGUGAAAUGCUUAGAGAUCACGAAGAACCCCGAUUGCGAAGGCAGCUUACAAAACUGUGACUGACAUUGAUGCUCGAAAGUGUGGGUAUCAAACAGGAUUAGAUACCCCAGUAGGC
rnacentral:rRNA from 1 species